UUACGGCCACAUCGCGUUCAAAAACCAGUCCCCAUUCGAUCACCGAAGUUAAGCAAAGUCGAGCCUGGUCAGUAGCUAGAUGGGUGAACUUUUGGAAAUAAAGGUGC